ACACCAAAUUUUGAUUUGUUCUCUUUUUACAGGAAAAGAACUGAAGCAAUACAUAUGACUUCACGAUGGAGACCACACUCUUCAGCCUUCUUACAACCAACCUGUCUGUUUGAAUCCAUUCUCUUCAGGGGAACAAGAACAAAAUUUACGUGUGCAGCUUCCAGCCCAUCAUCCAGUUCCCUGUCUCUGCUAGCUGUACCCUGAUUUUGCUCUGUGGAAUCAUCCUCCUCCUGACUUUCAGCCCAUGUGCUUCUGGACAUUCCUCAGUCUCCAUAACAACACAAAGAUAAUACUCAGGCACAAAGUUGUAGUCUUACCGGGUUGAAGAGUCACGAUUUGGAUUUCAGGGCUCUCACAGAACCUGGAAAAUAAGAAUGCCAGUAUCUCAGAAAAGGAACAUCAUAGACAGGUAAGUCUAACAAUUUUCAUACAAACUUUCCAUGCAUUCUUGGUGGACGAAUGAGCUGUAACAGUGCAUGGAGCUGAGAGGGAAAACAAAAUCUAGAAGGCUGAAUGUGCUGAACAAAAAUAUUAACAGCUUCUUUCUAGUGAAGGGAAGACAAAGCUGGACUUUAAUCCUUCCAAGUUAUAGAAGUUUGGUAAACACCUCAGAAUUUUCAUGAGAACCGCUACAGAACGGUCACAACCUAGGACUAAGGAACACGUUUCAGACAUGAUGGCACAUCUUAAAUUAAUCCACCUAACAAAGCCUAAAACCAAACUUCUUAUACAAGAUAAAGGCCAUGAAACAAA
rnacentral:lncRNA from 1 species